rnacentral:rRNA from 1 species
UACGUAGGGCGCGAGCGUUGUCCGGAAUCAUUGGGCGUAAAGAGCUCGUAGGUGGCCUGUCGCGUCGGCUGUGAAAACUCGGGGCUCAACUCCGAGCUUGCAGUCGAUACGGGCAGGCUAGAGUUCGGCAGGGGAGACUGGAAUUCCUGGUGUAGCGGUGAAAUGCGCAGAUAUCAGGAGGAACACCGGUGGCGAAGGCGGGUCUCUGGGCCGAUACUGACACUGAGGAGCGAAAGCGUGGGGAGCGAACAGG